rnacentral:rRNA from 1 species
AAUAAAAAUAUCUUUGGUUGGGGCAACCACGAAGAAAAAACAACCUUCGUUUAAAGAAAAAAUAAACAAAUUUAAAAUUAAUUAUUAAAACGAUCCGGAAAAUACCGAUCAAAGGAAAAAGUUACCGCAGGGAUAACAGCGUUAUUCUCUUUAAGAGUUCAUAUUGACAAGAGAGUUUGCGACCUCGAUGUUGGACCGGGACACCCCAGGGAUGCAGCAGCCCCUAAAGGUAGGUCUGUUCGACCUUUAAAGUCCUACGCGAUCUGAGUUCAGACCGACGCAAGUCAGGUCAGUUUCUAUCUA